rnacentral:rRNA from 1 species
UCCAGACUCCUACGGGAGGCAGCAGUGGGGAAUAUUGGGCAAUGGGCGCAAGCCUGACCCAGCAACGCCGCGUGAAGGAAGAAGGCUUUCGGGUUGUAAACUUCUUUUCUCAGGGACGAAGCAAGUGACGGUACCUGAGGAAUAAGCCACGGCUAACUACGUGCCAGCAGCCGCGGUAAUACGGAGGAUCCGAGCGUUAUCCGGAUUCAUUGGGUUUAAAGGGUGCGUAGGUUGUUUUAUAAGUUAGCGGUGAAGUACCGAUGCUCAACAUCGGGGCUGCCGCUAAUACUGUAGGACUAGAGAUCGGAUGCAGCAGGCGGAAUGUGUAGUGUAGCGGUGAAAUGCUUAGAUAUUGCGCAGAACUCCGAUUGCGAAGGCAGCAUACCGGCGGCGAUCUGACGCUGAGGCACGAAAGCGUGGGUAUCGAACAGGAUUAGAUACCCCCGUA